UGGGUGUAGGAGUUUAUCUUCUCCAACAGCACCACCCGCUGGGGACAAGCCCACCGGAGGGCCACAGUGGUGCUGAACCAGGCAAAGGGGGUUGCACACAGCGAGAGGAGAGAUGGAAGAGCUGGCGAGUCCUGUGGCACGAGCAGGGAGGGCUCCACGGGCCGGCUGCAGCUGGUGGACAGUCCUCCCCAGGUGGCAAGAGAAGGAGAGCCAACAGAACUCCUGGGCGCUGGCGACUUACACUCGCUUAAGUGGAGAAUUUGGAAACCACACAAAAUACUCCCGAGGCCAUAGUCCACGUGGAGCCAGUCAAGUGAUGACAGUUAUGUGUUUUGUGGGGUCAUAUCUGUGA
rnacentral:lncRNA from 1 species